UAAACAUCUGACUAUUUGGCGAUAGCUGGAUUAAUGGCUGGUAUUUUUGCUCACCUGUCUGAGGGAUGCAUUGUUGUCUUCGAUGAGAUUGAUUUUGCUCUCCAUCUUGAAUAGAAGGGAGAUGAGACUUGAGACCGUGGAGGCAGUGAGGUGGAUGUGACCACAGUACUUCUUCUGGGAGACCAGGCAAUUGGCAAUAAGGUCAUGGAAGUUUUGAACCUGAGAGUUAAUAUGAAAACCAUGUAUCAUGCUUUGAGAAGACGAAUCUGGUAACAUCAGACAGUAAGACAAUGUGGAGAGCAAGGAGAAG
rnacentral:lncRNA from 1 species